rnacentral:rRNA from 1 species
UACAGAGGUCCCAAGCGUUGUUCGGAUUCAUUGGGCGUAAAGGGUGCGUAGGUGGCGCCGUAAGUCGGGUGUGAAAUUUCGGAGCUUAACUCCGAAACUGCAUUCGAUACUGCGGUGCUUGAGGACUGGAGAGGAGACUAGGAAUUCAUGGUGUAGCAGUGAAAUGCGUAGAGAUCAUGAGGAACACCAGUGGCGAAGGCGGCUCACUGGCCCGGUACUGACGCUGAGGCACGAAAGCGUGGGGAGCAAACAGG